GACGAACGCUGGCGGCGUGCUUAACACAUGCAAGUCGAACGGACGGGCCCGGCUUUUGUUGGGUGCUCGAGUGGCGAACAGGUGAGUAACACGUGAGUAACCUGCCCUUGUCUUUGUGAGAACUUCAGGAAACUGGGGCUAAUACCCGGUAGGAUCUCCUGCUGCAUGUUGGUGGUUGGAAAGUUUCGGUGGUUGUGGAUGGUCUCGCGGGUUAUCAGCUGGUUUGUGUGGUAGUGGCUUACCAGGGCUUUGACGGGUAGCCGGCCUGAGAGGGGUACCGGCGACAUUGGGACUGAGAGACGGACCAGAAUCCUACGGGAGGCAGCAGGGGGGAAUAUUGCAGAAUGGGCGGAAGCCUGAGGUAGCAACGCCGCGUGCGGGAUGACGGGUUUCGGGUUGUAAACAGAUUUCGACGGUGACGAAGAGUGAGUGACGGUAAUGGGUAAAGAAGCAACGGCUAACUACGUG
rnacentral:rRNA from 1 species